rnacentral:ncRNA from 1 species
GGAUGAGAGAUACACCCCGUCCGCAGGGGACUGCGGGCGGAGCCGGGCCGGGGCCUCCCCAGCUUCGACCUGGUCGUGCCUCGCGCACACGAACCGGGGCCCGAGGGCUCCGGGUCUCCUCACGAUCGGA